UACGGAGGAUCCAAGCGUUAUCCGGAUUUAUUGGGUUUAAAGGGUGCGUAGGUGGCCUGGUAAGUCAGGGGUGAAAGACGGUAGCUCAACUAUCGCAGUGCCUUUGAUACUGCCGGGCUUGAAUACAGUUGAAGUGGGCGGAAUGUGACAAGUAGCGGUGAAAUGCAUAGAUAUGUCACAGAACACCGAUUGCGAAGGCAGCUCACUAAAGUGUGAUUGACACUGAGGCACGAAAGCGUGGGGAGUCAAACAGG
rnacentral:rRNA from 1 species